rnacentral:rRNA from 1 species
GCAAGUCGAGCGAGCAGAUUAUGAUGGAUCCUUCGGGUGAAAGAUUAAUUGGAAAGCGGCGGACGGGCGAGUAACGCGUGGGCAACCUGCCCUGUAUAAAGGGAUAGCCACUGGAAACGGUGAUUAAUACCUUAUAAGACUACAGCAACACAUGUUUCAGUAGCCAAAGCUCCGGCGAUACAGGAUGGGCCCGCGUUAGAUUAGCUAGUUGGUGAGGUAAUGGCUCACCAAGGCGACGAUCCCUAGCUGGUCUGAGAGGAUGAUC